GGCCUGGUCGGCCGGUGCGCCUCGCGGCGCUACUGGCUCGCGCCGGGCCCUGUUGUCUGCGGGCGCGGUGCCGCUCGCGCGGCGCCGUGCACGCGCAGGCCGUUUACUGUGAAGAAAUUAGAGUGUUUAUGGCAGGCCGGAGCGCUUGAAUACAUUAGCAUGGAAUAAUGGAAUAGGACCACGGUUCUAUUUUGUUGGUUUUCGGAGCCGAGGUA
rnacentral:rRNA from 1 species